UAGGGAAUCUUCGGCAAUGGACGAAAGUCUGACCGAGCAACGCCGCGUGAGUGAAGAAGGUUUUCGGAUCGUAAAACUCUGUUGUUAGAGAAGAACAAGGACGUUAGGAACUGAACGUCCCCUGACGGUAUCUAACCAGAAAGCCACGGCUAACUACGUGCCAGCAGCCGCGGUAAUACGAAGGUGGCAAGCGUUGUCCGGAUUUAUUGGGCGUAAAGCGAGCGCAGGCGGUUUCUUAAGUCUGAUGUGAAAGCCCCCGGCUCAACCGGGGAGGGUGAUUGGAAACUGGGAGACUUGAGUGCAGAAGAGGGGAGUGGAAUUCCAUGUGUAGCGGUGAGAUGCGUAAAUAUAUGGAGGAACACCAGUGGCGAAGGCGGCUCUCUGGUCUGUAACUGACGCUGAGGCUCGAAGGCGUGGGGAUCAAACAGG
rnacentral:rRNA from 1 species